rnacentral:rRNA from 1 species
CCUACGGGAGGCAGCAGUAGGGAAUCUUUCACAAUGGGCGAAAGCCUGAUGGAGCAACGCCGCGUGCAGGAUGAAGGCCUUCGGGUUGUAAACUGCUUUUAUCAGCGAGAAAUAUGAUGGUAACUUAUGAAUAAUGAUCGGCUAACUACGUGCCAGCAGCCGCGGUCAUACGUAGGAUCCGAGCAUUAUCAGGAGUGACUGGGUGUAAAGAGUUGCGUAGGUGGCAUAAUAAGUAGCUAGUGAAAUCGGGUGGCUCAACCAUUCAGACUAUUAGCUAAACUGUUAAGCUCGAGACCGUUAGGGGUAACGGGAAGUUCUAGUGUAGGAGUGAGAUCCGUAGAUAUUAGAAGGAACACCAAUAGCGUAGGCAGGUCACUGGGACGGUUCUGACACUAAGGCACGAAAGCGUAGGGAGCAAACGGGAUUAGAUACCCCGGUAGGC